rnacentral:rRNA from 1 species
UACGUAGGGUGCGAGCGUUGUCCGGAAUUAUUGGGCGUAAAGAGCUCGUAGGCGGUGUGUCACGUCGGCCGUGAAAACCUGCAGCUUAACUGUGGGCGUGCGGUCGAUACGGGCAUCACUGGAGUUCGGCAGGGGAGACUGGAAUUCCUGGUGUAGCGGUGAAAUGCGCAGAUAUCAGGAGGAACACCGGUGGCGAAGGCGGUUCUCUGGGCAUGUCCUGACGGCUGAGGAGCGAAAGUGUCGGGGAGCGAACAGG